rnacentral:lncRNA from 1 species
CCACAUCCCAGCAAACCUUUAUUUGGCUAUGUUACCGCUUGCUCAACCCUUCUUAUAUCGUUGCUAGUUGCAUGUGAAUGUUGCUUCCCAUGUGACAACAAUGAUUCCUUGAUAUAUCACAAUAUUAUUUGUCGGUGCACUAAAGACUGGGGUCUCCAGUGCCGCAGCCUAGUGCGCGGACACCAGCAGCCCCUCUGCAGUGGAAAGG